GCUGGCGGCGUGCUUAACACAUGCAAGUCGAACGAUGAAGCCCAGUUUGCUGGGCGGAUUAGUGGCGAACGGGUGAGUAAUACGUGAGUAACCUGCCUUUAACUCUGGGAUAAGCCUUGGAAACGGGGUCUAAUACCGGAUACGACCAACCUUCGCAUGAGGUGUUGGUGGAAAGGGAUUUUGUACUGGUUUUAGAUGGGCUCACGGCCUAUCAGCUUGUUGGUGAGGUAACGGCUCACCAAGGCGACGACGGGUAGCCGGCCUGAGAGGGUGACCGGCCACACUGGGACUGAGACACGGCCCAGACUCCUACGGGAGGCAGCAGUGGGGAAUAUUGCACAAUGGGUGCAAGCCUGAUGCAGCGACGCCGCGUGAGGGAUGACGGCCUUCGGGUUGUAAACCUCUUUCAGCAGGGGAGAAGCGAAAGUGACGGUACCUGCAGAAGAAGCGCCGGCUAACUACGUGCCAGCAGCCGCGGUAAUACGUAGGGCGCGAGCGUUGUCCGGAAUUAUUGGGCGUAAAGAGCUUGUAGGCGGUUUGUCGCGUCUGCUGUGAAAGCCCGGGGCUUAACCCCGGGUUUGCAGUGGGUACGGGCAGACUAGAGUGCAGUAGGGGAGACUGGAAUUCCUGGUGUAGCGGUGAAAUGCGCAGAUAUCAGGAGGAACACCAAUGGCGAAGGCAGGUCUCUGGGCUGUAACUGACGCUGAGAAGCGAAAGCAUGGGGAGCAAACAGGAUUAGAUACCCUGGUAGUCCAUGCCGUAAACGUUGGGCACUAGGUGUGGGGAACAUUCCCACGUUUUCCCCGCCGUAGCUAACGCAUUAAGUGCCCCCGCCUGGGGGAGUACGGCCCCAAGGCUAAAACUCAAAGGAAUUGACGGG
rnacentral:rRNA from 1 species